rnacentral:rRNA from 1 species
AGAGCGAACGCUGGCGGCAGGCCUAACACAUGCAAGUCGAACGGAUCCUUCGGGAUUAGUGGCAGACGGGUGAGUAACACGUGGGAACGUGCCUUUUGGUUCGGAACAACUCAGGGAAACUUGAGCUAAUACCGGAUGUGCCCUUCGGGGGAAAGAUUUAUCGCCAUUAGAGCGGCCCGCGUCUGAUUAGCUAGUUGGUGAGGUAAAGGCUCACCAAGGCUUCGAUCAGUAGCUGGUCUGAGAGGAUGAUCAGCCACACUGGGACUGAGACACGGCCCAGACUCCUACGGGAGGCAGCAGUGGGGAAUCUUGCGCAAUGGGCGAAAGCCUGACGCAGCCAUGCCGCGUGAAUGAUGAAGGUCUUAGGAUUGUAAAAUUCUUUCACCGGGGAAGAUAAUGACGGUACCCGGAGAAGAAGCCCCGGCUAACUUCGUGCCAGCAGCCGC